rnacentral:rRNA from 1 species
GUGCCAGCCGCCGCGGUAAUACCAGCUCCGCGAGUGGUCGGGGUGCUUACUGGGCCUAAAGCGCCCGUAGCCGGCCCGGUAAGUCGUCCCUGAAAUCCACGGGCUCAACCCGUGGGCUGGGGACGAUACUGCCGGGCUUGGGGGCGGGAGAGGCCGAGGGUACUCCCGGGGUAGGGGCGAAAUCCGAUAAUCCCGGGAGGACCACCAGUGGCGAAGGCGCUCGGCUGGAACGCGCCCGACGGUGAGGGGCGAAAGCUGGGGGAGCAAAGGGGAUUAGAUACCCCUGUAGUCCCAGCUGUAAACGAUGCGGGCUAGCUGCUGGGCGGGCUUAGAGCCCGCCCAGUGGCGGAGGGAAGCCGUUAAGCCCGCCGCCUGGGGAGUACGGCCGCAAGGCUGAAACUUAAAGGAAUUGGCGGGGGGGCACACAAGGGGUGGAGCCUGCGGCUCAAUUGGAGUCAACGCCGGGAACCUCUACCGGGGGCGACAGCAGGAUGACGGCCAGGCUAACGACCUUGCCCGACGCGCUGAGGGGAGGUGCAUGGCCGUCGUCAGCUCGUGCCGUGAGGUGUCCGGUUAAGUCCGGCAACGAGCGAGACCCCCACCCCUAGUUGCUACCCGAUCCUUCGGGAUCGGGGGCACACUAGGGGGACUGCCGGCGUAAGCCGGAGGAAGGAGGGGGCCACGGCAGGUCAGUAUGCCCCGAAACCCCGGGGCUGCACGCGAGCUGCAAUGGCGGGGACAGCGGGAUCCGACCCCGAAAGGGGAAGGUAAUCCCGUAAACCCCGCCCCAGUAGGGAUCGAGGGCUGUAACUCGCCCUCGUGAACGUGGAAUCCCUAGUAACCGCGCGUCACCAUCGCGCGGUGAAUACGUCCCUGCCCCUUGUACACACCGCCCGUC